GGAAUCAGGGCCGAGUUUCACUUCGAGCUGCUCUCAUUUGUUGACCCUGGACCAUAAAGUUACUCAGACUGUGGCAGCGCUGCGUUUAAAAUGACAACCACAGAGAACUCAAACCGAGAGGAAAAUCAGCUGCGUGAGAAACCCGCUGGUCACGUGACCCGAGAGGCCCGUGCCGCUCACCUUUACGUUGGUGAAGUCGUAGUCGUACUGAGGGUGGAAGAAGUUCUCCGUGUUGAUUUCCACAGUGAGCUGGAAGCUCUCGGGAGGCGCGUCCAGGGCCGGGGGCGAGCUGUACAUGUCGGCUUCGUCUAAGUCGUGCAGAGACAGCGUCCCCAAGCUGGGGUACUCCAGCUCCUUAAAGCCCUCCUGCUUGUAAAACUCUUUGAGGGCCACGACGUUGACCAGGUCCUGCGGGGUGAACUGGGAGCUUCCGGUUGUCGCUUCGGCUCUGCAGCCCAGGAGCGCGGAGACGGCCUCCAGGCACAGCCUGACGUCCGGCAUGCUGCUGCUGCGAGGACGGCGGGACAGCAGGCGGGGUCCUCCGGCUUCACAGGACAAAUAUCUGCCCCCUCUGAGGAACCGAGGUCGGAACCGAGCUGAAAAACGCGCAGAGACAGAAGAGAAGCUCGACGUCUGCGUCCGGACAGCUCCCCGAACUUUCGCUUUCACUUACACGCAGCCGGGGGCGGGGCUUAACACACAGUUUCACUGAGAGCAAACACACCUGUUUCGUUCUUGGAUGGAGGGCGUGUGCACUGAAACUCAUCACGAGUUGUUGUGUUGUCACAGUAAUAAAUAGUUGUCUCUAUCUGCGGUAUCAUGACAAAGUCAUUGUUUGCUGUGAGGGCAGCUAUAGCGCCCCCUUGUGCUGAGUCUGAUUUUGGCACAGUACACGACUGUGGGGGUCAUGCUGGAGGAUGAAGUCACGCAUGGAAGUCUGUCACCUCUGCAGGUCACCUGUGGGUGUCAGCAGGGAGUCACAUGGUUCGAUUUGAUGAACCGGAGCCAAUCAAAGUACAGGAGCUGGUCAUGUGUGACACGAGUGGAACAGGAUAAAAUCCCUUCAUUGAGUCAAUGAUGCUGCUGUCUGUGCUGAGCUCUGAUGUGGGCGUACAUCACGUUCUGAUGUCACUCUGAGUCAGCUUCGUCUCCCUCACCUGUCCCAUGUCUCGUUUCCUCUGCAGGUAAACCGUCUGUUUGCUCCUGCUGUAACCCACGGAGACGGGACGACGAUCACCGGGUCACAGAGGAAGAGUCUUUGCAUUAUUCCAGCCUGAAGCAUCCAGACAAGCCCCGCCCCACCACCAGGAGAGGAACCGGAUUGGCUGAAGAGAAGGUCCUGUACUCAACAGUGAACAUGUGCAAGAACUCAAAGGCAUCACAUGACCACAGAUAGAAGCACUUUAAAUGAGCGUAAAUGAAUUUUUUAAAUUAAUAAAACUGUGAAAAUAUGUGAUUAGAUUUCAAAAUCUAGAUUUUAGUUUAUUUGUUUGUGUAAACAGAUAAGAUUUAUUUUUCAGUGAGCAGAAAAACUUAAAAUGUUAAAUAUCCAGAAAGUUGCAAUGAAAGCAAAAUGUUUGUAAAACAUUUCUGUUAAUAAAGUAACAGCCAUGAAUGUAAAUCUGCCACAGCAGAUAAUUACUAAACUAAAGAAAAUCCUUUUUUACCCAUGUGUGUGAAUAGUUCCCUCGGGUCAGUUUCAAAUCUUUAUGUCUGUGUCUGAAUAUUGCUGCUGUAAAUAUGUUUGCUGUGCUGCUUCCAUGAACAGGUUCCACACUUUGUCUGUUACUAAUAAACUGAUUCUGACACCACGAUCUGUCCUGAUGGCCGCCGCUCCAGAUGUGACGCUCCACAUGUGGACGCCUGUGAACGAGUCCUCGCUGUAACAUGUAAAGACUCAGUGAAAGCAGCUGUGCUGCUGAAGCAGAGAGUGAAACAUGAAACCAAACUGACUGACAGGAUUUUAACAGCUUGUGUCACAGGUGAAACUAAGCUUCCCGUCACACGACCGUACACUCAGACUUUCAGAGUUUGUGCUCAGCUCUCGCUGCAGGUCUGCUGACGACAGAGGAGUAGAUGACGCUGUGGUGGCUCUGCUCCGGCGGACUCCUGCUGGGUCUCUCUCUCCAGUUCUGUCGGCCCAGAGAGGCGUAGUGGAUCGUCUCCCCACAGAGGGGCGGGGUCUCUAAGUCCUCACCCUCUGCAGACAGACACACCGUUUUAAUCCCUCGUAGACUGACGUGAGGACAUCGAACACCUGGUGAGGUUACCUGUCGGUGCGCUGGACGCCGUCCACGGCUGCAGCUCUGUGUCUUCACGUGUCGGUGCUGCUGCAUGG
ensembl:lncRNA